GUAUGAGUGUGAUUGUGAGAGUCUGAGAAAACACUGAGAGAGAAAGAACAACUUGUCAGGUGGUGCAUUGGAGACUGAUGUGUUCCUGUCCUGUCUUUUCACAAUACUAUUGCAGAUCAACAUAAAAGCCUAAAAGACAGCCGUGGUGUCGCUCUUCAUUUCUUGGUUCUCCUGUGGUGCAUAAGAAACCCGCUACAGAUUGGUGCCGUGACCCGGAUCAACAGAUCAGCUGCAGCAGAUCGCCGGGGGACUCCUACACAGAACUGGAUCGACAUCACACGUUUAAAACAUUUGAGGGCAAGGAUAACAUAAUGUCCUAGGAGUCUCAUCUGAUGAAGAUUAUCAAAGGUUAGUGCUGCAUUUAGCUG
rnacentral:lncRNA from 1 species